GCAUUAACAACAUGAAAGCAAAAAGAACUACACACAUCUGAUGAAGAGACUCUUUGUUUUUUUCUAUUUUCUGUCAUCUGCCCACUCCUCCUUUAAGACCAAACAGGAGACAAGGGAUAUUUCUGUCUGAUUUAAUAAAGAGGAAAACUAUCAAUCCCCAUUGUGUAGUGGUGAAGAUUACUGCUCUUUGGAAUAAACUCCCUUGGGAAGAAAAGCAUUUUCCAUAUAUUGAUGCUCUCAGUUCAAGACAGAAUGCCUUCCUGGA